rnacentral:rRNA from 1 species
GACGUAGGGUGCGAGCGUUGUCCGGAUUUAUUGGGCGUAAAGAGCUCGUAGGCGGCUCGUCGCGUCGACCGUGAAAACCCGCGGCUUAACUGUGGGCGUGCGGUCGAUACGGGCAUCACUGGAGUUCGGCAGGGGAGACUGGAAUUCCUGGUGUAGCGGUGAAAUGCGCAGAUAUCAGGAGGAACACCGGUGGCGAAGGCGGGUCUCUGGGCCGAUACUGACGCUGAGGCGCGAAAGCGUGGGGAGCAAACAGG